rnacentral:sRNA from 1 species
AAUACACAUGUAAAUACUUUAAUCCUCAUUUUAAACAUUUGUAACUAUUUCAAAAUCUUUAUAAAUCGUUUAAAACCAUUGUAAAAGGUUUUAAAAUAAUUUACAAGAGCUUUUAAAGGAUUUACAGGAAAGCUCAACUCUGAAUAGCUUUUAAAAUCCUUUUGAAACUCUUAUAAAGUCUUUAAAAACAUUAGUAAAUCAUGUUUUAACUCUUAAAAA